AGAGUUUGAUCCUGGCUCAGGAUGAACGCUAGCGACAGGCUUAACACAUGCAAGUCGAGGGGCAGCGGGGGAGUAGCAAUACUCCCGCCGGCGACCGGCGCACGGGUGAGUAACACGUAUGAAACCUGCCCGUAGCAGGGGGAUAAGCGGAAGAAAUUCCGUCUAAUACCGCGUAACAACCCGAGGAGGCAUCUCCUCGGGUUUAAAGGGAGCGAUUCCGGCUACGGAUGGUCAUGCGUCGCAUUAGCUUGUUGGCGGGGUAACGGCCCACCAAGGCGACGAUGCGUAGGGGUUCUGAGAGGAAGGUCCCCCACACUGGUACUGAGACACGGACCAGACUCCUACGGGAGGCAGCAGUGAGGAAUAUUGGUCAAUGGCCGCAGGGCUGAACCAGCCAAGUCGCGUGAGGGAUGACGGUCCUAUGGAUUGUAAACCUCUUUUGUCAGGGAGCAAAGGGCGCCACGUGUGGCGUUUUGCGAGUACCUGAAAAAAAAGCAUCGGCUAACUCCGUGCCAGCAGCCGCGGGUAAUAC
rnacentral:rRNA from 1 species